rnacentral:rRNA from 1 species
UACGGGGGGGGCAAGCGUUGUUCGGAAUUACUGGGCGUAAAGGGCGCGUAGGCGGCCAUCUAAGUCAGACGUGAAAUCCCCCGGCUUAACCUGGGAACUGCGUCUGAUACUGGAAGGCUUGAGUAUGGGAGAGGGAUGUAGAAUUCCAGGUGUAGCGGUGAAAUGCGUAGAUAUCCAGAGGAACACCAGUGGCGAAGGCGACUCACUGGGCUCCACCUGACGCUGAGGCGCGAAAGCGUGGGGAGCGAACCGG